AGAGUUUGAUCAUGGCUCAGAGUGAACGCUGGCGGCAGGCCUAAUACAUGCAAGUCGAACGGCAGCACAGCAGAGCUUGCUCUGUGGGUGGCGGGUGGCGGACGGGUGAGGAAUACAUGGGAAUCUGCCCAGUCGUGGGGGAUAACGUAGGGAAACUUACGCUAAUACCGCAUGCGCCCUUCGGGGGAAAGCCGGGGACCUUCGGGCCUGGCGCGAUUGGAUGAGCCCAUGUCGGAUUAGCUAGUUGGCGGGGUAAUGGCCCACCAAGGCGACGAUCCGUAGCUGGUCUGAGAGGAUGAUCAGCCACACUGGAACUGAGACACGGUCCAGACUCCUACGGGAGGCAGCAGUAGGGAAUAUUGGACAAUGGGCGCAAGCCUGAUCCAGCCAUGCCGCGUGAGUGAAGAAGGCCCUCGGGUUGUAAAGCUCUUUUGUCCGGAAAGAAAAGCGCCGGGUUAAUACCCUGGUGUCCUGACGGUACCGGAAGAAUAAGCACCGGCUAACUUCGUG
rnacentral:rRNA from 1 species